GACGAACGCUGGCGGCGUGCUUAACACAUGCAAGUCGAACGAAGAGCGAUGGAAGCUUGCUUCUAUCAAUCUUAGUGGCGAACGGGUGAGUAACGCGUAAUCAACCUGCCCUUCAGAGGGGGACAACAGUUGGAAACGACUGCUAAUACCGCAUACGAUCUAAUCUCGGCAUCGAGGAUAGAUGAAAGGUGGCCUCUACAUGUAAGCUAUCACUGAAGGAGGGGAUUGCGUCUGAUUAGCUAGUUGGAGGGGUAACGGCCCACCAAGGCGAUGAUCAGUAGCCGGUCUGAGAGGAUGAACGGCCACAUUGGGACUGAGACACGGCCCAGACUCCUACGGGAGGCAGCAGUGGGGAAUCUUCCGCAAUGGACGAAAGUCUGACGGAGCAACGCCGCGUGAGUGAUGACGGCCUUCGGGUUGUAAAGCUCUGUUAAUCGGGACGAAAGGCCAUCUUGCGAAUAGUGAGAAGGAUUGACGGUACCGGAAUAGAAAGCCACGG
rnacentral:rRNA from 1 species